UUGUGGGGGGAGAUGCCCCUGCCUCCUUCCCCAAGUCCCUGCAAUUUUUAACCCUAACUGACCCAUCUCUCUCUCUCUCUCUCUCUCGCUCUCUAUCUGUGAACUACUCCCGCCGUCGAUCCAUCCGCCGUUGCCUCCGCCUCCUAUCGGCGCCGCCGUUUCCGCCUCCUAUUGUCGCCGUCACUUCCGCCUUCGUUCGCCGUCGCCGCAGCCUCCAACUCAAUCGAACUCCGCCUCUGCCUCCGCCGAUGCCAGAUCUGCCUCCGUCGAUGCUAGAUCCGCCUCUGCCGCCUCGAAGUGAGCAUCGAAGGCAAUUACUUCAGCCAGAGGUGAAGUGAACUAUACGAAGUACCAUGGCCAAAGGAAAGACUGAAAAUGAAGUAAUGCUCUCAAGGUAAGAGGUGGAUAUUGAAAAUAACAAAUUGUGUGAAAUAUCUACUCUACCUGAGUAUAUUGUGUCAUAAGGGAUCUUGUUAGAUACACAUACAAAUUUAAAAUGCUACUCCGCCUUGUAAUUGCUCCUGAUAUUUAAACAAAGUUGCAAGGCCUGGCCUGAUUUUGAUAUCGUUUUUUUAUUUAAUGAAUUUAUUACUUACCAUUUUAUUCUUCAUGAGAAGUUGUGAAACUUACCCUAUCUUCCAGUUAAGUCUUUUGUCCUCAGGGAGGCCAUCACGACGAUAUUGAGUCAACCACACCUCAACUUACUGGGCUGGCUUUGCUGUGUUUCUUGACAACAGCCUUUUGCCUCAUCAUCUACACCGCUCCUAUCCGAGCUCCAUGUUUUGAAAUUGCAGUCACAGAAUCUGACCAAAACAUCUUCCUGAGAAUCUUGCAUGAGGAAACAGGCGAUGACUAUCUGACAACAGCAAGAAGAACAAAAUUUGUCAUUAAAAGAUUUUGUGAUGGCUAAAUUAAGAAUCCAUCAUUUAUCUAAGUCCUAUUUACUAUAGCCUCACCCUCACAACAUGACAUCAUCUGUUCAGUUUAACAAAAUUAUUUAAAAAUAUUUAGCGACGGAUUUUUGGGCUUUAGCAACAAAAUAUUUCCUGUUGCUAAAACUCAAAAUUCUUAUAGUGUGUUACGUAUUCUAUCAUCAAGCAAAUCUUUAUUUUUCUAAAAAUCUAGACUGAGUGUCCGUCCCCAGUAAGGGACAGUCGACUGUAGGCCAAUGAGAGUUGACUUUCUGUGAGAACUCGACUGUGGGUUGACCGAGAGUCGACUGUCGGGUGUCAAGGAGUCGACUGUCGGUUAGAACAGUCGACUGCCAGACUCCAACGGUCGAAUUUUCCAACCGUUUGAAAAUCCAUUGGAAGUUUCAUUAUGAAUAUUAAGAGGAGAAAUCUGGAGAAGGCUAAUGCUCUCUCAUACUACAAAAAAUCAGCGUUUUAGCGAUGGAAAAUUCCGUCGCUAAAACAUCAAAAUCUGUCGCUAAAUUUUUUAAUGACGGAUUUAGUGACGGGUACCUUUCUGUCGCUAAAAAUGGCAUCGCUGAAAUUUAGCGACUGAUAUUUUUUAGUGACGGAAUUAGCGACGGGGGUUGUACCUGUUGCUGAUUAGCGACGGGGUUGACCCGUCGCUAAAUUUGAAUUAUUUUAUUUAUUUAUUUUUUAUUUUUUAGAGACAGGAUUGAGCUCGUCGCUAAAUUUUAAUUUUUUUAUUUUUUAGCGACGGGUCUGAGCCCAUCGCUAAAUUUUAAUUUUUUUUAUUUAAUUUUUUUUUAUUUUUUAACGACGGGUGUGAGCUCGUCGCUUAAUUUAAUUUUUUUUUAUUUUUUAGCAAUGGGGCUGACCUCGUCGCUAAUUCCGUCGCUAAAUUUAGUGACAGGGUUUUUGUCACUAAUUUCGUCGCUAAAUUUAAAAAAUAUAUAAAAAAAUUAGCGACGGAAUAAUUUCGUCACUAAAUUCCGUAACUAAAUUUAGUCGCUAAAAUACAUUUUUCUUGUAGUGUCAUUUCCUAUCUUCCUAAAGCACACCCAACCUCUCAAGCAACUCAAGUAAAGCAAUUUAAGGCUUAAGCUUAAAGUUUAAUCCAUUUGGAGCCUAAGGCAAAGGAGAAGACAUUCUCUCCAUUUGUGGUAACUUUUAUUAUUUUUAUUUUCCCUUGUACAUCAUUGUGUUUAAUUCCGUAUUAGUCCAAAGUUAUUUGGAUAUAGGAUUUAUUUGUAUUAAUUUGUGGAUUGUGAGUGGCAUCCUAGAGCCCAAGUAAUUUAGGUGUAUUAUUGUGUUGUAUUAGUUUUUGGGGUGAGCUAAGGGGAAAAUCUCGGGGUGUAUAACUUUACUAGGUGAUUUUGUAUGGAAACCUAGUGUCGUGAUUUUAGUGGAAUCUUAAGUGUCAAGUUGAUCUUGAGACAGUGGAAUAGGUGUUGGAGACACCAAACCACUAUAUAUUCUUGUGUUGAUUAUUGUAGUUAUUUGCAUAUUUAUAUUAUUAUCACUCUGAAACAACAUAUAUAUAUCUAUAUAACAAAUGUAUUUUGUGUAUAAGAAAAGCUCAAGAGUUUUAAAGGGAAGAAUCGGUAUAUUAAGUUUUUAAUCCUCAAUUCACCUCCCCCUCGAGUGGCCAUUGUAUUGCAUCAAGAGACCAACAUUGGGUAGUAGAUUUUUGAGGGUUCUGGUUUGGUCCUAGCUGUUUAGUUCCAUCUUCUUUUUUUCGGUUAAGGGCAAGUUCUUUUGCUCUUUCUCUUCUAUUUCUUGCAAGAUCCUCUUUUUCUCUUGUUUGUGCAAGUCUUCCUUUCCUUCUCUUGUGGAAACAAAUUUGAAUUCUCUUGUUGGAUUUUAUAACCCAUCUUCCAUUUUUCGAGUGUUAUUGUUGGAAUCUCAUUUGUGGUAAAGUGGGUUUCGUUUAACCCGAUUGAUUGUAAUUUGUGUAGGUUUUCUUAGAUUUAUGGUAAAUGAAGUCAUAAUCUUAAUGAGGUCUUUUUCCGCCCCAUAUUUCCAAAGAAAUGAUGUAUGUUUGGAUUGUGUAUUGCAAAUUUUGGGUUGAUUUUGGCUCGUUUGUUUUCGUUUCUGGGUUCCAAAAGUCGACUAUUUUGAGCAUUAGUAGACUAUUUUGGGUAUAAACCGACUAUUUUGGGUGAAAGUCAACUAUUUUGUGUGUAAGUUGACUUACCGGAGAUCAGCUCUCGGCCAAGUUAACUCCGUAUAUCAAGUUCUCUGUUAAGUCGACUUUUUUUCUCAGACUAUGUAUACUGUACUCUUUAGGGUGUAACUUUCUGCGAUUAUAUCUGAUUCGAGAUCUGUAUUUUGCAUUGUAAACUAGACUCAAUAAACUUCAUUUUGACAUAUUGUACAAAUCAUUUGGCCAAGUUUUGAGUCUGUAAGAGUCCUUUGAAAUGCUUGCCUGAAUCUGGAAUUUUCGUUUCUUCAAAAUAUGACCAGCUCCAAUUUUUGGAGUAUAACUUUCUGUGGAGACAUCCAAAUUGAAAUCCUCUUUUUGUUCCAUGAACUAGACUUGAUAACAUUUGUCUUAGUAUGAGCUUUUAUGGUGAUUUUUCGUAGUUCCAGCAAAAGGACCCUGUUCUUGCUCCUUCUUCGUGGCUGCAAAUUAAUUGAAUGGUGAGAUAGAUUCGGUGGGGUUCAUUUCCAGUUUUGGGUAUUCACAGAGAAAAGCAAGUUCAUUUCUUCUUUAUGCAAGUUUAUGUUCUUUUCUCUUUGUGAAAAAAGCUGGUUAUUUGUUAUCACAGCCAUGUCUUGUUCUCUUCAAUUCAUAAGUUCCUAUGCAUUGCUCUCCCAGCUAUAAGUUUCGUAACUUCUCAUUUGUUUUGGAAGUGGGUUUUGGGUAGCUUGCUCUCCGAUCAGUUUAAUAAUAAUCAAGUCCUCAUGGUUAUGUUCUAUACUUGAAAUUUAGGCUCUAGAAGUAAGCUCCUCACAUUUUAUUUCUUUGGGCUGCAUAUUAAUAAUUCUUUGUGCACUUGUCAAACCUUACUCAAACUUAUAAUAAGGUCUCAUAUCGCCCUAUAGUUCCUUGGAAAUGAUGUCUUAUCUUAUUGGAAUAUAUCCCAGAUGGUUGUUUUUGGGUUGGUGAUUGUAUUUCUACUUGCUUGUAAUUACAUUGCAUUGUGACGUUAGGUCAUGGGUUACAUUCAUUAUGAGGUCAUGCUUUGUAUUCGUUGGAGCGUGAGCAUGGUACGACAUGGUUGGCCUUUUUAGUGCUAACUUGUGUAUCUUUAGGUGAGCAUAUGCAUGUAGAGCAUUUGCAUGUGUGAAUUACUACGUGGGCGCAGCAUGGUCUGAAACUUGGCUUAUGAAAGCUUUGCCAUCACAUUUAUGUUACAAGAGUCAUUGCAUCUCUUAUGUGUUGCAUUACAUAUUGUGGAUAUGGGUGAUUGAGGGAAAGAAGGUGCAACUUCCAUUGAAAUGAGUGUGAUUUUGAGAUACGAGUAGGAGCUCGACGUGGUGUUAUUAUGGGUGCUUCGGCACAUGGUGGCAGUGGCAGAGGUUGUUGUGAUGAUGUGGCAUUCACAAUGUUGAUUUGGUAGCUUGCUUAUGGCUGCUAGCUGAUUUGUAUACAAGGUCUUGGACUCUAGUGUGUGUAUUAUGUGGGUUCCAAGGACCUAAUGUGUGCAAUUUAUUAUGUUUUUGGGAUUGAUGCAUGCAUCGGUACAUGGCAUAACAUGCAUGAUGUAUUAGGAAAGUUUUAUCCUCAAUCAAAUGCCGUUCUUUCUUUAUACUUGAUAGUCUUAUGACUCAUUUUGUUUAACAUUAUUUCAUGUAAUAGGGAUGUUAUGAAUGAGGUCAAGCUAGUAUAGCUUGAGUUUUCAUGAAUUAAAUAUGUAUACAAAGACAAUCCUAACCAAAGGAUUCGUAGAGGUUAGUUUGAGAACAAAUAGAGAAGAGUUUAUUUUUGUAUUUUAAAUUUUGCUACCCUUCGAUUUGAGAUGCAAGAAUUGUGAUGUAAUUUCUUAUGUUGGCUUCAA